AUUGAACGCUGGCGGCAGGCUUAACACAUGCAAGUCGAGCGGAGAUGAGGUGCUUGCACCUUAUCUUAGCGGCGGACGGGUGAGUAAUGCUUAGGAAUCUGCCUAUUAGUGGGGGACAACAUUCCGAAAGGAAUGCUAAUACCGCAUACGCCCUACGGGGGAAAGCAGGGGAUCUUCGGACCUUGCGCUAAUAGAUGAGCCUAAGUCGGAUUAGCUAGUUGGUGGGGUAAAGGCCUACCAAGGCGACGAUCUGUAGCGGGUCUGAGAGGAUGAUCCGCCACACUGGGACUGAGACACGGCCCAGACUCCUACGGGAGGCAGCAGUGGGGAAUAUUGGACAAUGGGCGGAAGCCUGAUCCAGCCAUGCUGCGUGUGUGAAGAAGGCCUUUUGGUUGUAAAGCACUUUAAGCGAGGAGGAGGCUACUUAGAUUAAUACUCUAGGAUAGUGGACGUUACUCGCAGAAUAAGCACCGGCUAACUCUGUGCCAGCAGCCGCCGCGGUAA
rnacentral:rRNA from 1 species